GGGACAAACCUGAACAGUUUCAAACCAUCCUCAGAUCUCGACCUCACCUACUUGAAGACAUCAUGAUUGGCUGGGGGAUUCUGGGAGUUGAAAUCCACCUAUUCUGAAGUUGCCAAGAUGGCGAAACACUGGAGAUUCAUAUUACUAGAACUUCAUUGCCUGUCUGGUUUGCCGUCUGAGGUAGAGGAAGAAAAAAAACCCUAGUUUAUCCAACAGACAAACCCAAAUGUUGGUUUGAUGUGCGGGUGGCAUUUUUGCUUGCAGUCUGAGAUUUAAAAUGGGACACGCCCCCUCCCCCCAUUCGAUGGUGGUUUAUUCAACAAAGCAGGUCUAAGCCAACAGUGGUUUAAUGUGGCAUGUGACCCGAGGCGUAGGACAUGGACUUUCAUGACCAUAUCCUUCCACAGGUAGUCCUCGACUUACGGCUGGCAUUGAGGCCAAAAUUUCCAUCGCUAAGCAAGAGAGUUCAGUGGUUUCACUCCGUGUUAUGUCCUUCCUUGCCAUCAUUGUUAAGUCAGUCACCCAGUGGUUAGACUGAAUCUGGCUUCUUCCCUGUCGAUUUGGCUUGUCGGAAGGUUGCAAAAAGGGGAUCAGGACAGUGUGACCGUCAUAAAUACGGAUGCCUGUCAUCAGUCCCUUUUUUCAGUGCCAUAAUGUUGAACGGUCCCUGAACGAACUGUUGUAAGUCAGAGACUACCUGUACAAAUUCCAGCUCAGAUUAGAACCCUUCCAAGAUUUGAUGGAGGUGCUUCUAACGCCUCUUCAUGGGCUUCUAAAAAUGUGCAAUUGGGCCACUGGAUGUUUCGUUAAGCCUUAAGGAGAGAUUGGAAUCUCCUAUGCCCAGGAGGACUGUGCCUGUUUGUGUGUGUGUGUUGUGUGUGUAUGUUGCAGCUUACUGGGCCUCUAUUUUUGUAAUCCGAAUGGACUGUGGCAUACAUUUUAGUCCCUUUUGAUUGUAAUAA